AGAGUUUGAUCAUGGCUCAGGAUGAACGCUGGCGGCGUGCCUAAUACAUGUAAGUCGAACGGAAGAUGUAGCAAUAUGUCUUUAGUGGCGAACGGGUGAGUAACGCGUUGGUGACCUGCCCCGAAGAGAGGGAUAACAGACCGAAAGGUUUGCUAAUACCGCGUAAUUUCCUUCUAGUUAGAGAGGAGGGAAGAAAGGCCGAAAGGCGCUUUGGGAGGGGCCUGCGUCCCAUCAGCUAGUUGGCGAGGUAAAAGCUCACCAAGGCGAUGACGGGUAGGGGACCUGAGAGGGUGACCCCCCACAAUGGAACUGAAACACGGUCCAUACACCUACGGGUGGCAGCAGUAGGGAAUAUUGGUUAAUGGGCGAAAGCCCGACCCAGCAACGCCGCGUGCACGAAGAAGGCCUUCGGGUUGUAAAGUGCUUUUUAGUGGGAUGAGGAAGGACAGUACCACUAGAAUAAGUCUCAGCUAACUACGUGCCAGCAGCCGCGGUAACACGUAGGAGACGAGCGUUAUCCGGAUUUACUGGGUGUAAAGCGCGUGCAGGCGGUCGGGUAAGUUGGAUGUGAAAGCUCCUGGCUUAACUGGGAGAGGUCGUUCAAAACUGCCGGGCUAGAGUGCAACAGAGGGGAGUGGAAUUCCGAGUGUAGCGGUAAAAUGCAUAGAUAUUCGGAAGAACACCAGUGGCGAAGGCGGCUCUCUGGGUUGCAACUGACGCUCAGACGCGAAAGCUAGGGUAGCGAACGGGAUUAGAGACCCCGGUAGUCCUAGCCGUAAACGAUGUGGACUUGGCGUGGGUGGGUUGAAAUCCAUCUGUGCCGAAGCAAACGCGAUAAGUCCACCACCUGGGGACUACGGGCCGCAAGGUUAAAACUCAAAGGAAUUG
rnacentral:rRNA from 1 species